rnacentral:lncRNA from 1 species
GGCACCCUCUUGAAGAGAAAUACUUUUGCUCAGCUUGGAAUGAAAUGCAGAUAACUCUUUAGAAAACUUUCAUAGGAAAAAAGCGCCUCGUGUGAUCUGGAACAAAGACAUUUUCUAAUCAGAUUUAUCAAGCUGUGAAGAGGGAGUUUUAGCGAACGGAAGCAGCAGCAUUCUGUCACCAGGAAAUACUGCUUUAUCCAGAAUUGAGCCCCACCCUGAAGGCUGCAUAUCAUCUAGCUGCUGG